GGCGACGACGGGUAGCCGGCCUGAGAGGCGACCGGCCACACUGGGACUGAGACACGGCCCAGACUCCGUACGGGAGGCAGCAGGUGGGGAAUAUUGCGCAAGUGGGCGAAAGCCUGACGCAGCAACGCCGCGUGAGGGAUGAAGGCCUUCGGGUUGUAAACCUCUUUCAGCAGGGAAGAAGCGAAAGUGACGGUACCUGCAGAAGAAGCACCGGCUAACUACGUGCCAGCAGCCGCGGUAAUACGUAGGGUGCAAGCGUUGUCCGGAAUUAUUGGGCGUAAAGAGCUCGUAGGCGGUUUGUCGCGUCUGCUGUGAAAACCUGGGGCUUAACUCCGGGCCUGCAGUGGGUACGGGCAGACUAGAGUGCGGUAGGGGAGACUGGAAUUCCUGGUGUAGCGGUGAAAUGCGCAGAUAUCAGGAGGAACACCGAUGGCGAAGG
rnacentral:rRNA from 1 species